AUGCUCAACCUCAACCAGCAAUCCGGCGCCGCCGGCUUCAACUCCAAGGAGCAGUUUCUCUACGGUGAGUCCAGCAUCCAGAUGAAGCUCAUCCCGGGAAACUCCGCCGGCACCGUCUCCUGCUUCUACCUUUCUUCCGGUGACGACGAGUGGCGCGACGAGAUCGACAUGGAGUUCAUGGGCAACUCGAGCGGCCACCCGGUGGUGCUCAACACCAACGUGUGGGCCAACGGCGACGACAAGAAGGAGCACCAGUUCGACCUCUGGUUCGACCCGGCCGCCGCCUACCACACCUACACCAUCAUCUGGAACCCGGAGAGCAUCCUCUUCAAGCCCAUGAGGCUGCACGCCACGCUCUGGGACGGCAGCUACUGGGCGACCGAGAAGGGAAAGAUCCCGAUCAACUGGUCCAACGCGCCCUUCGUCGUCUCCUACCGCAACUUCUACGCCAACGCCUGCGUCAGCGGUGGCGCGUGCCAUGCCGGCAGCGGCAGGUGGAUGAACAAGCAGCUCGACGGCGCUGAGUGGGGCACCGUCAAGUGGGCGGAGCACAGUUACAUGCGCUACAACUACUGCGACGAUGGGUACAGGUUCCCGCAGGGCCUCCCCGCCGAGUGCAGCCGCUACUGA
rnacentral:rRNA from 1 species